GCUACGUGUGGCAGCAGUGGGGAAUAUUGCACAAUGGGGGAAACCCUGAUGCAGCGACGCCGCGUGAGUGAAGAAGUAUCUCGGUACGUAAAGCUCUAUCAGCAGGGAAGAAAAUGACGGUACCUGACUAAGAAGCCCCGGCUAACUACGUGCCAGCAGCCGCGGUAAUACGUAGGGGGCAAGCGUUAUCCGGAUUUACUGGGUGUAAAGGGAGCGUAGACGGCAGCACAAAGCUGGAGUGAAAUCCCGGGGCUUAACCCCGGAACUGCUUUGGAAACUGUGCGGCUGGAGUGCAGGAGGGGUAAGCGGAAUUCCUAGUGUAGCGGUGAAAUGCGUAGAUAUUAGGAGGAACACCGGUGGCGAAGGCGGUUUACUGGACUGUAACUGACGUUGAGGCUCGAAAGCGUGGGGAGCAAACAGGAUUAGAUACCCUUGUAGUC
rnacentral:rRNA from 1 species